AGUGAACGCUGGCGGUAUGCCUAACACAUGCAAGUCGAACGGCAGCACAGUAAGAGCUUGCUCUUACGUGUGGCGAGUGGCGGACGGGUGAGUAAUACAUCGGAACCUACUUUUUCGUGGGGGAUAACGUAGGGAAACUUACUCUAAUACCGCAUACGACCUACGGGUGAAAGCAGGGGAUCUUCUGACCUUGCGCUAUUGAAUGAGCCUAUGUCGGAUUAGCUAGUUGGCGGGGUAAAGGCCCACCAAGGCGACGAUCCGUAUCUGGUCUGACAGGAUGAUCCGACAGACUGGAACUGAGACACGGUCCAGACUCCUACGGGAGGCAGCAGUGGGGAAUAUUGGACAAUGGGGGCAAGCCUGAUACAGCCAUACCGCGUGGGUGAAGAAGGCCUUCGGGUUGUAAAGCCCUUUUGUUGGGAAAGAAAAGAAGCAGGUUAAUACCCCGCUGUUCUGACGGUACCCAAAGAAUAAGCACCGGCUAACUUCGUG
rnacentral:rRNA from 1 species